rnacentral:rRNA from 1 species
GUCCACGCCGUAAACGAUGAUAACUAGCUGUCCGGGCACUUGGUGCUUGGGUGGCGCAGCUAACGCAUUAAGUUAUCCGCCUGGGGAGUACGGCCGCAAGGUUAAAACUCAAAGAAAUUGACGGGGGCCUGCACAAGCGGUGGAGCAUGUGGUUUAAUUCGAAGCAACGCGCAGAACCUUACCAACGUUUGACAUCCCCAGUAUGGUUACCAGAGAUGGUUUCCUUCAGUUCGGCUGGCUGGGUGACAGGUGCUGCAUGGCUGUCGU